AAAAUUUAAUAAAACAAAUAAAACACAAACAGGGGCUAAUUAAAAAACUGAUGCAAAUAUGAAGGACUGGCGCGCAAAUUGCCCAUUUAAGGUAAAAUGCGCUGACCAAGUCAAACGCGUGUAUACCCCCCAAUGCUGUUUCAUUUUCACUUGACAUUAAACCUGCUUUAAAACAUUUUUUUUUUUUUGCUUUAAAAAAUAUUUUAGCUUUUCUUCUUUUAACAAAAAACCCUAAAUGCUUUAUUAUUCCCUCAACUCACGCACCCCAGCCGAAAGGCCAAGCUUCAACCGCCCCAAAAUCCAACUAUGGUGAACAGAAUCGAGCCCUCCGACGACGUGAGCGUGAUGCAACUUCGGACAUAAAGACGGGGGGAAAAGCCGGACGUGGGCGUACAACAUGCGAGUUGGGCGCGAACGUAGUACGGGCGCAGAGGCUGUGGGACGUGCGGCGGCUGAGACUCUCAAGUAGCUUAGGGUUUCCUUGAUUUCUGAUUUGAGCCAUUAGAGUUUGGGUUUGUAGUUGGGCCUGGUGUAACUAGAUUUGGACUACUUUUUUUUGUUUUUUUGUGUAUGUAUGGGCCCGGGCUAAAAAUUGGGUCUACAAUAUCGAUUCACAAACUAGCACAUUCACAUGAUAAA